rnacentral:rRNA from 1 species
AGAGUUUGAUCCUGGCUCAGGAUGAACUCUAGCUACAGGCUUAACACAUGCAAGUCGAGGGGCAUCAUGGAGUUUGCUUGCAAACUCUGAUGGCGACCGGCGCACGGGUGAGUAACGCGUAUCCAACCUUCCCUAUAGUAGAGGAUAGCCCGGCGAAAGUCGGAUUAAUACUCUAUGUUUUCCGUUGCAGACAUCUAAGAUGGAACAAAGGCUUGCCGCUAUAGGAUGGGGAUGCGUCUGAUUAGGUAGUCGGCGGGGUAACGGCCCACCGAGCCAUCGAUCAGUAGGGGUUCUGAGAGGAAGGUCCCCCACAUUGGAACUGAGACACGGUCCAAACUCCUACGGGAGGCAGCAGUGAGGAAUAUUGGUCAAUGGGCGAGAGCUUGAACCAGCCAAGUAGCGUGCAGGACGACGGCCCUAUGGGUUGUAAACUGCUUUUAUGCGGGGAUAAAGUUCACUACGUGUAGUGUUUUGUAGGUACCGCAUGAAUAAGGACCGGCUAAUUCCGUGCCAGCAGCCGCGGUAAUACGGAAGGUCCGGGCGUUAUCCGGAUUUAUUGGGUUUAAAGGGAGCGCAGGCCGGAGGUCAAGCGUGACGUGAAAUGUAGCCGCUCAACGGCUGAACUGCGUCGCGAACUGGCUUUCUUGAGUGAGUUCGAUGUGGGCGGAAUUCGUGGUGUAGCGGUGAAAUGCUUAGAUAUGGCGAAGAACUCCGAUUGCGAAGGCAGCCCACAAGGCCUUUACUGACGCUAAAGCUCGAAGGUGCGGGUAUCGAACAGGAUUAGAUACCCUGGUAGUCCGCACGGUAAACGAUGGAUGCCCGCUGGUUGCCAUAUACUGUGAGCGGCCAAGAGAAA